AAUAGGUAUAAAAAAUUUGUCCUCUUUUGAAACUCAGAACUCAUUGUUAAUUAUGAGUUUUGAUACAUAUAGAAAGGAAUAUU
ensembl:snoRNA